rnacentral:tRNA from 1 species
GGCUCCGUAGCUCAACUGGAUAGAGUACCUGACUACGGAUCAGGAGGUUGCAGGUUCGAACCCUGCCGGGGUCACAA